UACGAGGGGGGCGAGCGUUGUUCGGAAUUAUUGGGCGUAAAGGGUGCGUAGGCGGUUCCGCAAGUCCUGUGUGAAAUCUUCGGGCUCAACUCGAAGUCUGCACGGGAAACUGCGGGGCUUGAGUGUGGGAGAGGUGAGUGGAAUUCCUGGUGUAGCGGUGAAAUGCGUAGAUAUCGGGAGGAACACCUGUGGCGAAAGCGGCUCACUGGACCACAACUGACGCUGAGGCACGAAAGCUAGGGGAGCAAACAGG
rnacentral:rRNA from 1 species